rnacentral:lncRNA from 1 species
AUGGCAGGACAAGCGUGUAGAAAGUUUUUUCCACUCUCUGACUGAGUAUUGGUUGGAAGGAGCGCUGCUAAAACUGUAACCAAAGGAGGCAUUUUGCUUCCAGAAAAAUCUCAAGGAAAAGUAUUGCAAGCAACAGUAGUCACUGUUGGAUCGGGUUCUAAAGGUAAGGCUGGAGAGAUUCAACCAGUUAGCGUGAAAGUUGGAGAUAAAGUUCUUCUCCCAGAAUAUGGAGGCACCAAAGUAGUUCUAGAUGACAAGGAUUAUUUCCUAUUUAGAGAUGGUGACAUUCUUGGAAAGUACAUAGACUGA